rnacentral:lncRNA from 1 species
CCACAGUAUAAUUCACUAGAAGAAGUUCCCCUUCAAAAUUUAUUAGUGGAAAUUUAGGACAUUGCUUGAAGUUAUUUUAUAAAAUUCCGGCAUGCUUUCUUUCUUUUUUUUAAAAGAACUUUUUAUUUAUUAUUAUUUAUUUAUUUUUUGUCUUUUGAGGGACGUACCCGCAGCAUAUGGAGGUUCCCAGACUAGGGGUCUAAUCAGACGUGUAAUUGCUGGCCUGUGCCAGAGCCACAACAACUCGGGAUCCGAGCCGCCUCUGCGACCCACACCAUAGCUCAUGGCAACGCUGGAUCCUUAACCCACUGAGCGAGGCCAGGGAUCGAACCUGCAACCUCGAGGUUCCUAGUUGGAUUCGUUAACCACUGCGCCACGCCACGAUGGGAAGUCCAAUUCUGGCAUGCUUUCUAACUCCAUUUCUGGGAAGUUGUGCUAUCUAGUAAACAUAAACCAGCUUGAGGAUUAAUUUACUUAUAGGAGGUGUGGGGGGGAGGUGGCUGUAUUAUUAGGUCCGCCCAGUAGGGCUUUUUGGUUUUCUUUUGUUUUUAAAACCAAGACUCUCUCUUCUUGAAUACUUCUGUGGGAAAUGUGUUGCUUGGCAACCCCCCCCCCACACACACAUCCUCACCCUCUGCAUUGACUGGGGGCCAUUUACUCUCAGAGAAACCACCAGGAGGAAGCUGCCUGUGAGGGAGAUGAGCUGUCAGCAACACUGCACUCAGAGGACUGCCCUUGCAGAGAGCUGCAAGCAGACAAACCAGAACUCCAGAGCCCCUGGUCUCCUGGCUCAUUUGAAUUUGUCCUCUAGUCUGUUACAUAUUUUUUUCACACGUAUAAUCGUUUGUUUGCAGUCUGGAAAUAUAAAACCAGUCAAGAAACAGAGGCCAGAGUAUUGGUCUGGACAAAGCUCCCAGGUGACAAUGAUGGGCCUUGUUGGUGUGCAGUGCUGGUGGAACAGUUUCUUUCUUGGUCUUUACCACUUUAUGAUGCUGCUCUACGGAUCAAAAAUACAAGCUUUAUCACUAUUAAUUGGAAUUUUGCCAUGUUUAUAAAUUUCUGUUGCAUGCUUUAAUAAUGAUGAUAAUACCAAUAACAAUGAUGUAUAUAUAUACACACUCAGCUUACAAUAACCUUUGGUAUGAAGCCCUUUCUGUCUCAGGUAACGCCAACCACUUCUUCAUUUGUUCCCUCAUUAUAGCCUUGCACAUGUUCAUCCCAGCAACACAACAUGUUACUGUAUUUAUUUUUAGAAUUCACCUCCUACUACCAGAUGUUAGCUCCUGGUAAAGGCAACUGUACUGGGGGAUACACUGUAAAUCUCAACAAAUAUUUGUAGAAUGACUCCAUGAAUAAAGAAACAACUUACCCAAAAAUUUAUCCUUUG